AUUUAUAUAUUUUAUUAAAAUAUUAUAUUUUCAUUAUAAAGAAAUCCUAAAGAUUAUAAAUA
rnacentral:tRNA from 1 species